rnacentral:rRNA from 1 species
UACGGGGGGAGCAAGCGUUGUUCGGAAUUACUGGGCGUAAAGGGCGCGUAGGCGGCCUGCUAAGUCGAACGUGAAAUCCCCGGGCUCAACCCGGGAACUGCGUCCGAUACUGGCAGGCUUGAAUCCGGGAGAGGGAUGCGGAAUUCCAGGUGUAGCGGUGAAAUGCGUAGAUAUCUGGAGGAACACCGGUGGCGAAGGCGGCAUCCUGGACCGGCAUUGACGCUGAGGCGCGAAAGCCAGGGGAGCAAACGGG